rnacentral:rRNA from 1 species
UUAACUAGGAUUAGAUACCCUAUUAUUAAGAAAAAUUAUAUUGUUAGUAUAUAAAUUGUAUGAAAACAAAAAAUUAUGGCGGUAUUUUAAGCUUUUCAGAGGAAUUUGCUCUUUAAUGGAUAAAACACCUAAAUCUUACUAAAUUUAGUUAAACAGUUUGUAUACCACUAUUUAAGUAAUAAUUUGCUAUUAUUACUAAAAUUUAUAUUAAUUAAAAAAAGUUAAGUCAAGGUGCAGCAUAAAUUUUAGUAUGAAGUGAAUUACAUUUCUUUUAAGAAAAAUUUGUUGAAAAUAAAAUUUAGGAUUUGAAAGUAAAAUUUUAAUAGAAGGAAAAUUUGAAUUAAGCUCUAAAAUAUGUACACAUCGCCCGUCGCUCUCAUAAAAAA